rnacentral:rRNA from 1 species
CCUACGGGAGGCAGCAGUGGGGGAUAUUGCACAAUGGGGGAAACCCUGAUGCAGCGACGCCGCGUGGGUGAAGAAGUAUUUCGGUAUGUAAAGCCCUAUCAGCAGGGAAGUAAGAAGACGGUAGCUGACUAAGAAGCCCCGGCUAACUACGUGCCAGCAGCCGCGGUAAUACGUAGGGGGCGAGCGUUAGCCGGAUUCACGGGGUGUAAAGGGAGCGUAGACGGCCUUGCAAGCCAGGGGUGAAAGCCCGGGGCACAACCCCGGGACUGCACUUGGAACUGUGCGGCUGGAGUGCGGGAGGGGCGGGCGGAAUUCCUGGUGUAGCGGUGAAAUGCGUAGAUAUCAGGAGGAACUCCGGCGGCGAAGGCAGCCUGCUGGACCGCGACUGACGUUGAGGCUCGAAAGCGUGGGGAGCGAACAGGAUUAGAUACCCGGGUAGUC